rnacentral:lncRNA from 10 species
GAUGCGGCCGGGGCUGCGCGGUGGUGAUGCGAGCCUGCAGGGCGGCGCGCCGGGGCAGCCGGAGCCGCGCGCCGCGGCGCUGUAAUCGGACACCAAGAGCGCUCGCCCCCGGCCUCCGGCCACUUUCCAUUCACUCCGAGGUGCUUGAUUGAGCGACGCGGAGAAGAGCUCCGGGUGCCGCGGCACUGCAGCGCUGAGAUUCCUUUACAAAGAAACUCAGAGGACCGGGAAGAAAGAAUUUCACCUUUGCGACGUGCUAGAAAAUAAGGUCGUCUGGGAAAAGGACUGGAGACACAAGCGCAUCCAACCCCGGUAGCAAACUGAUGACUUUUCCGUGCUGAUUUCUUUCAACCUCGGUAUUUUCCCUUGGAUAUUAACUUGCAUAUCUGAAGAAAUGGCAUUCCGGACAAUUUGCGUGUUGGUUGGAGUAUUUAUUUGUUCUAUCUGUGUGAAAGGAUCUUCCCAGCCCCAAGCAAGAGUUUAUUUAACAUUUGAUGUGUCUCACGCUGUCACCAGGUUGGAGUGCAGUGACACGAUCUCGG